rnacentral:rRNA from 1 species
UGGGGAAUAUUGGACAAUGGGCGAAAGCCUGAUCCAGCCAUGCCGCGUGUGUGAAGAAGGUCUUCGGAUUGUAAAGCACUUUAAGUUGGGAGGAAGGGCAGUAAGCGAAUACCUUGCUGUUUUGACGUUACCGACAGAAUAAGCACCGGCUAACUCUGUGCCAGCAGCCGCGGUAAUACAGAGGGUGCAAGCGUUAAACGGAAUUACUGGGCGUAAAGCGCGCGUAGGUGGUUCGUUAAGUUGAAUGUGAAAGCCCCGGGCUCAACCUGGGAACUGCAUCCAAAACUGGCGAGCUAGAGUAGGGCAGAGGGUGGUGGAAUUUCCUGUGUAGCGGUGAAAUGCGUAGAUAUAGGAAGGAACACCAGUGGCGAAGGCGACCACCUGGGCUCAUACUGACACUGAGGUGCGAAAGCGUGAGGAGCAAACAGG